ACGAGCGUAAAAACUCCAAACCUUUGUGAAUCUACCAUUCGUUGCUUCGGCGGGCGGCUCCCCGGGGGGCCUUGAAGCCCUCGCGGUGCCCGCCGACAGCCCCAUACUCUUCUGUAUUUCAGGCUUUUACCUUCUGAAUGCACAAACAAACAAGUAA
rnacentral:misc_RNA from 1 species